rnacentral:rRNA from 1 species
AGUACCACCCUGAACGCGCCUGAUCUCGUCUGAUCUCGGAAGCUAAGCAGGGUCGGGCCUGGUUAGUACUUGGUUGGGCUUGUUUUAAGUCUACUUCAGUGAUGGGUUCUUAGGAGCUUCUGGAUCUC